ensembl:lncRNA
GAAAGUUUGAGCCAUCUCCCUCUCCCUGCAUGGACCCUCUCUGCAGCCCCAGACUAGUGUUGUGGUUUUGGUACUGUUGUUAGUUGAUGCCUAAUGCCAAUUUUGUGCUAGAGUUUCAGUUUGUGUACUGUUGCUUUGCUGCCCCCACUUAAACUGUUGAACUCCACUCAAUAUUGCUAAUACUUCUGUAGUCCUGUCUUCAAUAUUUAAGUUGUCUAGUUUAUAACUUGUAGGGAGGAGGGUGCCUAUUUCUUUUAACUCCUUUUCUCCUGUUUUUUGGAAAAGUUAGGUAGUUAAGGAAAAAACAGUACAACGCAGUUUUCAACCAGGUGACUCUGUUCUGGUAUUACUUCCUGUUCCUGGCUCAAUUUUUGAUGCAAAGUUUUCUGGUCCGUAUGUCAUUGAGCAAAAACUUAGUGACACAGACUAUGUUGUAAAUACUCCCGAUCGUCGUCGUAAGAAGAGAGUGUGUCAUAUUAACUUGCUAAAGCGUUACGUUGCUCGUAACUCUUUUGGGACCUCUCUUCCCUCACCUACACUGAAACCCAGUGUUACAGUAGCUCCUGUUUGCAGUCCUGAUGUUGAGGAAUUGGUAGCUGAACCUUAUUCACCUGGUGUUCGUUUGAAUAAUUCAGCUAUAUUAAGUAGUUUGGACUCUUAUUUAUCUUAUUUACCUGAAGACCAGCGUAAGGAUGUUAAAAUGUUGUUGUGGAAACAUCCUGCCCUGUUUGCUGACGUGCCUGGUAGAACCAGUAUAUUGUUUCAUGACAUCAAUGUAGGGAAUUCUCUUCCAAUCAAGCAACAUCCAUACAGAGUGAAUCCGGCAAAGCGAGCGAUUAUGAAAUCAGAGGUAGAUUAUCUACUUUCAAAUGGGCUGGCUGUAUCCAGUCAAAGUCCCUGGAGUUCUCCAUGCCUACUGGUCCCAAAGUCUGACAACACCUUUCGCUUUUGUACGGAUUAUAGAAAAGUAAACAGUGUGACAAAACCUGACUCCUUUCCCUUACCACGGAUGGAAGACUGCGUGGACAGAGUUGGUGCAUCGAAGUUUGUUUCCAAGUUAGACCUGUUAAAAGGUUAUUGGCAGGUUCCACUAACUGCACUUUUUGCUAGGCCUGCCCAGUUGUGAAGCUUACUUAGAUGACAUUGUAGUCUAUUCAGAUGAGUGGGAAGAUCACAUCUGCAGUUUGGAGAAACUGUUUACAAGGUUAAGUGAUGCUCGG